UACGAGGGGGGCAAGCGUUGUUCGGAAUUAUUGGGCGUAAAGGGUGCGUAGGCGGUUUGGUAAGUCUUAUGUGAAAUCUACAGGCUCAACUUGUAGUCUGCAUGAGAAACUGCCGGGCUUGAGUAUGGGAGAGGUGAGUGGAAUUCCUGGUGUAGCGGUGAAAUGCGUAGAUAUCAGGAGGAACACCUGUGGCGAAAGCGGCUCACUGGACCAUAACUGACGCUGAUGCACGGAAGCUAGGGGAGCAAACAGG
rnacentral:rRNA from 1 species